rnacentral:lncRNA from 1 species
AGGUACUAUCUUAUUGGAUCAAGUACAAUUAUGCCAAUGCAGUGAUUAAAAAGCCAACAGUUGUAGUAAAAUAAAACAUUUUAUAGAUGAUAUACACAAAUUAGGUCAUAAAGCAAUGCAUGAUCCAUCCAUGAAAGUUCAUAACCAUGAUAAUGCAAGUCAUAUAGAAAUAUUGUGAUUUAUCCAUACUUUAUAAAACAUACUCUCAGACGGAUGUGCUGCUAUGGUCACUAUAAUCCCGUGACAGGGCCUGUUAAUCUUAGUCGACUAAUUCUGUUAUUCGUUACCAACUUUAACCUCUUGGCAGAGGGCCUGUUAUUCUUUGGAUGCUAGCUCCAGGGUGUCGACUGGCCUCUAUUUCUAGAGGUGGUCAUAGCUAUCUGAGAGUUCAUAAAUCAU